AAACUGCCCCCAGCUCUGCCACCCCCUCAAGCUCCUACACCGGCUCCCUUCCCUUCAGGACUCGACUUCCACAAGAGUCACACACGCGUGUCCACUUCCUCUUCACCCACGUGCCUGUGAGAGCCUCCUCGCACACACGCCUGCAAUCCCGAGCAGCGGGUCCGCCUGCAGCGCUCUAACGACACGAGCCUUCCACCAGCGAGGACCUGAAGCAGAAAGCAAGUGCCUGUUCCCUGCACUGGUCCUCCUCUGCACCUCGCUCUCUGAAGCGCACACUCUCCUCCUCGAAACUCCACCUUCCAGCGGGUUCGGCGUCAGGGGAAGCUUCUGGCUCUGCCUCUCUGUCCUCGCUGAUUUCUCCUCUAGUUUCUAGGAGUGGGCUAGGCAGGGACAGCCGCAAGAUACCCUAAACCUUCAGGAUGUCCUAACUUGGCAAAUGCCGGAACACCUGCAGAGGUUCGGAGCUUCCUCCUGAGUCGUGUUGGAGGCAGGGGCCCGUCUCCUGUGUUUCAGUCACUGCCACCAGGUAAGCGCUUCGAUAACUUUUGCUAAAGCGUAACUCUCACUUGAUGACCAUUUUCUACAAAGAAGUAAAUCACCUAAAUGAGAAUUACCGCCUCUACCACGAUGAGGAAGAAAAACUCAGGAUGCCGGGCAACUUGGUAGAUUCACGCCGAGCCAGGGGGCUCACUCCCGCAGCAGCCGGCCCGGUCACGCCUCGAAAGAUCUGCGAGCGCCAUGCCGUUAACUCUCAGCCUCUUCAAAACAUACAGACUCCAAGCGCCGCACCAGACACGCGAACGUCAGGGCAUCCUCCCGCUCCAGCAGCGCAGGCUCUCCGCGGCCUUCUCUUUCACCUCGAGGAUGCGACCGUCACUCCCAGGUGGACGGGGCUUCCUCUGGCACCCUGGGCUCUGUCCUCCGAUCCCGACACCAUCACGCCCACACUCUGUCGGGUGCCUCAGACUCAUAUGCCUGACACUAAUCAAUCGUCCCCAGCCCCACCUCCUCCUGCGGUUCUGAGUUGAGUCAAGGACGUGACGGGAACCUCCAAGGUACCAGAACCUAACCUUCAGGAUGAUGCUGUCCUCUGCCCUCCGGCCUGCUCCGAAGCUCCAGGCUCCCUGAGCUCAGGCCAGGCAGUGUGUUCAGUUGGCUGCCCCUGUGGCCUGCAUGUGUUCCUGUACACACACGGCAGGGGCUGGAGCGUGUCUGUGAGUGCGUGAGCUCCCCGUACACACACAGCAGGUGCUGGAGCGUGUCUGUGAGCACGUGAGCACCCUGUACACAUAUGGCACGUGCCAGAGUGCGCCUGUGAGCAUGUGAGCGCCCUGUACACACACGGCAGGUGCUGGAGUGCGUCUGUGAGGGUGUGAGCGCCCUAUACACAUACGACAGGCGCUUGAACAUGUCUGAGCACCCCGUACACACACAGCAGGUGCCAGAGCACGUCUGUGAGCACGUGAGCACCCUGCACACACAUGGCAGGUGCUGGAGUGUGUCUGUGAGCGCGUGAGCACCCUGUACACACAUGGCACGUGCCAGAGUGCGCCUGUGAGCAUGUGAGCGCCCUGUACACACACGGCAGGUGCUGGAGUGCGUCUGUGAGCAUGUGAGCGCCCUGUACAUACAUGACAGGUGCCGGAGCAUGUCUGUGAGCACGUGAGUGCCCUGUACACACACGGCAGGUGCUGGAGCAUGUCUGUGAGCGCCCCUGUACACACACAGCAGGUGCUGGAAUGUGUCUGUGAGUGUGCGAGCACCCUGUACACACAGGGCAGGUGCUGGAGCGUGUCUGUGAGCGCAUGAGUGCCCUGUACACACAUGGCAGGUGCCGGAGCAUGUCUGUGAGCACGUGAAUCCCCUGGACACACAUGGCAGAUGCCGGAGCAUGUCUGUGAGCGCCCCGGACACACACAGCAGGUGCUGGAGUGCGUCUGUGAGUGUGCGAGCACCCUGUACACACACGGCAGGUGCCAGAGCACGUCUGUGAGCACGUGAGUGGCCUGUACACACACGGCAGAUGCCGGAGCACGUCUGUGAGCGCCCCGUACACACACAGCAGGUGCUGGAGUAUGUCUGUGAACGCGUGAGUGCCGGUACCCGUGGUGAAGGGACACCC
ensembl:lncRNA